AGGUGAGCGCGAGCGUGAGCGUGGGAGCUGGAGGAGACGUCUCUGUUGGCGUGAAAGGUGUGUCAUGUUACACCGCAUUAACGCGAGGACCCGGGAUCACACAGAUGCCUGACUUGUCUGUGUGCAUUAAACCCAUUCAUUAACCCUGCAGCACUGAUAACAGAAACAGCUGCCUCUUUGUGUGGAAGCCAGGGGUCUUUAUGUGAGACUGGGAGCUGAUCCAUUUAUCACGAAGCAUGGCAGUGCAGGAGUUGACCCCAGCAUCUGUGUCCGCUCUGCUGUACACCGUCGUGUCUCUGCUCUCACUGGGCUUACUGCUGCUCAUGUGCCUGAUCAGGAAGAAAAGGAGGAUGGAGGGAACGUAUCGGCCCAGCGCAGAAGAGCGGAAACAGACGGGACCAAACUGUCCUGAAAAACCUGGGCUACCUCUACCACUGCCUAAAGAGGAAAGACUCAUUUAACCUCUACCCUUCUACUUUGACUCUUCAAAUGUAUUAAGUAUAUUUAUGGGUACUCACUCCCCAAUGAUGGAUUUCACUGGAUUGGAUGAAGUGCCUUCUUCCACUGCACUCAGUUUGAUGUAUAUGUUUUGUGUUGUAUAGACGUUUGUUCACAAUAAUGUUUUUUUUAUAUUGUUUAGAGUAUUUCACUAUGUGCCAAUAUGAAGGAUUACGACUGUGAAGCACCUUUUUAUACAUAGAUUAGAUGAAAAACUAUUUUGCAUGUUACAUAAAUAAUAGAUUUAUUGAGUAUUUACAUGUGAGAUUUCUUGAUAUUGGUUGAGGAGAAAUUAAGUUGACCAUAAUGAUUUUGGUCCAAGUA